rnacentral:rRNA from 1 species
GAAUUUUAUAUUUUAAUUUUUAUUUUUAGUGUUAUAAUUUAAAAUUAAAAUAUUUUAUUGGGAGGAUAAUUAAAUUUGAUAAACUUUAAGAAAAUAAAUACAUAAAUUAAUGAUUUAUAAAAAAUUAAUAAAUAAUAUUUAAUAAAAAAUUAAUUACCUUAGGGAUAACAGCAUAAUAUUUUUUUGUAGUUCAUAUAUAAAAAAAUGAUUGU